GCCGCGUGAGGGAGACGGCCAUCGGGUUGUAAACCUCUUUUAGUAGGGAAGAAGCGAAAGUGACGGUACCUGCAGAAAAAGCACCGGCUAACUACGUGCCAGCAGCCGCGGUAAUACGUAGGGUGCAAGCGUUGUCCGGAAUUAUUGGGCGUAAAGAGCUCGUAGGCGGUUUGUCGCGUCUGCUGUGAAAUCCCGAGGCUCAACCUCGGGCUUGCAGUGGGUACGGGCAGACUAGAGUGCGGUAGGGGAGAUUGGAAUUCCUGGUGUAGCGGUGGAAUGCGCAGAUAUCAGGAGGAACACCGAUGGCGAAGGCAGAUCUCUGGGCCGUAACUGACGCUGAGGAGCGAAAGCAUGGGGAGCGAACAGGAUUAGAUACCCUGGUAGUCCAUGCCGUAAACGUUGGGCGCUAGAUGUAGGGACCUUUCCACGGUUUCUGUGUCGUAGCUAACGCAUUAAGCGCCCCGCCUGGGGAGUACGGCCGCAAGGCAAAAACUCAAAGGAAUUGACGGGGGCCCGCACAAGCGGCGGAGCAAGCGGACUAAUUCGAUGCAACGCGAAGAACCUUACCAAGGCUUGACAUACACCGGAAACGGCCAGAGAUGGUCGCCCCCUUGUGAGUC
rnacentral:rRNA from 1 species